rnacentral:rRNA from 1 species
GAUCCUGGCUCAGGAUGAACGCUGGCGGCGUGCCUAACACAUGCAAGUCGAGCGAAGCGGUUUUGAGGAAGUUUUCGGAUGGAAUUAAAAUUGACUGAGCGGCGGACGGGUGAGUAACGCGUGGGUAACCUGCCUCAUACAGGGGGAUAACAGUUAGAAAUGGCUGCUAAUACCGCAUAAGCACACAGCUUCGCAUGGAGCAGUGUGAAAAAUUCCGGUGGUAUGAGAUGGACCCGCG